CACGUAUUCCCCAAGGUGUCUACAGCAUUGUGACAUAUUUUUACGCAUUUCCAUUAAAGAAUAGCCGCAAGGGAGCAUAUUUAGCAAGUGGUCACAUGGUGUCUCCCGCAGAAAAUCUUGCGUAAAAUACUGAGGUAAGCCAUUUUUCCAAUCGCUUCUUAUAAGAAACCAAUUGCCUCGACGGAUAUAUUAUCAAAUAUAUAUGUUAAAAACACCUUGAGGAUGGAUCCUAAACAACGUUUGCCGUGUUUCUGUCGAUAUUAUGGAGCUAAUUUUGAAAAAAGUUUGGCGUUGUAGUGGUAGCAUUUUCCGGUCGAUUUCUCAGCCAAGCAUGAUGAACAAACUGGAGCUAUUUCACCUACAAAAAUAAUAUUUUGGGAAAAAAGGAACAUUUGCUAUCUAACUGGGAGUCUCCUGAGUGAAAACAUCCGAAGUUCUUCAAAGCAAUACUUUGCCCUGACAAGAAAGAGCUGUUUGAAAAUGUCUCCCUGUCAAGACGAAGAAUAACACGUUGUGAUGAGGACAUCGCAGAGAAUAUGGAACAACAAGGAAAUGGCUUCCUGAAAUCCCUCAAGCAGCUGAUUGGUCGACUCCAG
ensembl:lncRNA